CUUUUGUGGCACUGGACUCCGGAGCUCAGGACUACAUUGUACUCAGGCGGCAGCCCCAGAGCCCAGAAUGUCAGCAAAAAAGAGCCACACCCGGGCGGCUUCUGGACACCUGGCUCUUGGGCAUCUCCUGGCUGCAUAGAUGAUACCCAGGUGGGGCCUGCUGGCUCUAGGACCUCCGCCCCACGCUGGCCCGGCCUGGUUGUCAGUGGAAUCAUAACCUGUGCACGAAUGGGUGGGGGUUGCUGUGCCCUGGGCAGACCUUGCUCCGGCCCCCAUGGCUGGUCCAGAGGAGGAGGAAGGUUGAGGGCGGUCCUGCCCCCUCUGCCCCACAAAGGGCAGCUGCAGGGCUCUUUCUAGAAUGGAGGCCUCACCGCAGUCUCUGUUAAAGGCCUCCAUGACCAGGCUCAUGCCUAUAAUCCCAAUUACUCAGGAGGCGGGUGGAUUGCUUGAGCCCAGGAGUUCAAGACCAGCCUGGGCAACAUAGCCAGACCUCAUCUCACUUAAGAAGAAAUAAAAAAUAAAGGCCUCCACAGGCUUUCACCCCUGAGAAUGGAGCCAAGAUCUCCCCUCCUCUGCAGCACCCACAGGUCCUGGCUGGUCCCCCUGGGGACCCCAUCCCCGGCUCCAGCCCACCCUGGCCAGGUCCCUCUCCCGGGGCCCCAGCUCCUCCUCCUCCUUCGGGCCCUGCCUCCACUCCUUGCAGCUCCUGCCCCUCUGCUCCCCUCUGAGCACAACUUCUGGAAGAAGUUUGUAUGGCUGUGUGAUUUGUAAAUAGGAAUGAAUUAAAAUUCAUGGCCGGGUGCGAUGGCUCAUGCCUGAAAUCCCAGCACUUUGGGAGGCUGAGGCAGGCGCAUCACCUGAGGUCAGGAGUUUGAGACCAGCCUGACCAACAUGGUGAAACCCCGUCUCUACUAAAAAUACAAAAUUAUCCGGGUGUGGUCAUGGGCACCUGUAAUCCCAGCUACACGGGAGGCUGAGGCAGGAGAAUCGCUUGAACCCGGGAGGCGGAGGUUGCGGUGAGCCGAGAUCUCGCCACUGCACUCCAGCCUGGGCAACAAGAGAAAAACUCAGUAUCAAAAAUAAAAAUAAAUAAAUUAAUUAACAAUAAUAAAAUUCAGCAACAGCCACGGUGCCACUGCUCAGGAACACCGCGGUGCCGGUCGGCACGGCCCGUCCUCUCCCUCAUCUCCAGAGCCGUGUCCCGCCCUCCAAGCCCACGGAGGACUUGGCUGUCAGGGUUGCCACGGACGUCGGGGCCCAGCCGGUCCUCAGCAGCCUCCGAGGCCGUCAGUGCCGCCUUCUUCCAGUGGCGCCUUCUCUGCGAGGCUCUGUGGAGGCUGCACUUCCCGGCUUCCCACCUUGCCCUGGCCAGGGCCCUUUGUCCUCCUCCUCGAUGGGAGCCCCAGGCCCUGGCUCUUCUGUGUCUGCACAGAGUCUAGGCCAGUCCAGCGCCACCUCUUCUCUGAGCUCCAGACACCCGGUUUCAGCACCUCCGUUUGCAAAGUCAGCAGCACGUCUUUCCUAACAUCUUCAAAACCCAAAGCUCCUGAUCUUGCCCCCGCGGCCCACACCCUCUUCUUCAUCUUCCCCACACAGGCAAGGGUGGCCGCCCUGCCCCCGGCCCCCCUCGGCGCUCCCUGCCGGCUCCGAUCCAUGAGUUCCUCUCAUCCUACCUUCAAAAGGUGCCCAGAGGCCACACGCGGUGGCUCACACCUGUAAUCCCAGCAGCGUGGAUCACGAAGUUAGAAGUUGAAGACCAUCCUGGCCAACAUGGUGAAACUCCGUCUCUACUAAAAAUACAAAAAUUAGCCAGGCAUGGUGGCAUACACCUGUAAUCCCAGCUACUCCGGAGGCUGAGGCAGGAGAAUUGCAUAAACCCGGGAGGUGGAGGUUGCAGUGAGCCAAGACCGCGCCAGUGCACUCCAGCCUGGGUGACACAGUGAGACGCCAUCUCAAAAACAAAAAACAAAAAACAACAAAGGUGUCCAGAGCCGACCACUUCUCCUCCAACCGCCUGGGCCUGCCAGGACUGUUGGUUCCGUUCUGCCCGACUCUGACCCCACAGCCAAGCCUGAGUGAGGCCAGGCCUGGCGGGCCAGGGACCAAAGUGUCCUGGCAGGGCCUGCGGGUGGAGGGGGGCAGGCGUCCAGGACCCCGGGUCUGAGGCGUGACCCAGCUGGGAGCGCGAGGAGGGCCCGGGUGGCAUUUCGCCACGCCCACCUGUCGGGGCCGUAGACGCUUCUCCUGGGGUCCAGGAUUCUGGGCCGCCGUGCGCCGGGCUCACCUGCACGAGGGUCUCACCGCGCCGCUCGCCGGCGCUCGGGGUGCGCUCUGGGCGGCC
rnacentral:lncRNA from 1 species